rnacentral:rRNA from 1 species
GACAGAGGGUGCAAACGUUGUUCGGAAUUACUGGGCGUAAAGAGCUUGUAGGCGGUUUGUCGCGUCUGCUGUGAAAAUCCGGGGCUCAACCCCGGACUUGCAGUGGGUACGGGCAGACUAGAGUGUGGUAGGGGAGACUGGAAUUCCUGGUGUAGCGGUGAAAUGCGCAGAUAUCAGGAGGAACACCGAUGGCGAAGGCAGGUCUCUGGGCCACUACUGACGCUGAGAAGCGAAAGCAUGGGGAGCGAACAGG